CGACAUCGCCUCGCCCGAGCACAUCCAAACUUUUGUACGAGCAACAUCAGGCUCUACUCACCUCAUCAUGGACUUCGUAUCACUAUCCCCGUCGGACGAUCUUUCAGACGAGAUCAGGAUCACCAUUCAUCUGAAGCCGACAACUUUCCCGUCACCUCCGUACCCGAGACCCUGAUUCCAGUGGCCCUACAGCCGGCUAGGGCGCGAGCGAGUCCGAAGAGCACCAACUUCGUCUCAUCCAUGGUUCGCAUCCCGCCUGGUUCAUCUCUCCUCAACAUCCAAGAUUAUCAUAGUUCGUCCGACGACUCUCCCGUGUCUCCCAGCCAACCUCCUUCCGCAGCAAAGAGAGGACGAGGAAAUUCCGGAACAGAAAGUCACCGUCGCUGCAGUUCGCCACAGAUCGCCGACUCCUUCACCUCCAAGAAGCGAAGCUUCCCGCCAUCGUUCCGCCAACACCGGCCGAACAACUCGCCGGUCUCAACGUCUCCACGCUCCGGCAUGUGUGCUUCUUCCGUCAACACCAGCUCUCUUCCGGGUGACGUCAUCACGCGCACGCAACACACCGCGACGUCGACGGUCCUGUUAAAAGGAACAGUACACUUAAAUACUACAGCCCAAAGACAGCAGAAAGCUUAUAGACAACAGAAAGUGCAGCAGCAAAAGUGGAGACAGAGAUCCUCAGCCAGAUCAAAUGACUCUAGAGUUUCUGCUACCACCUCUCGUCAUCACUCCACUCCAAAGGGAGUGCCCAGAUGGAUUUCAGGACCUUCCAAUCCCCAUCAGGAUUUUCAUCAUCGACACCAGCAACCUACAACAUGGUGCCCACUGCCAUCCAGUUCGAGCCACCACAACAGCCAAUCUUUAAAAAAAAAAAAAAAAAAAACUCAUGGCUGCUCGUUCCGUUAACACCAGAUCGCUUCCAGUUGACGUCAUCACGCACAGCCCUACAGGCAGUGACGUCUACACUUUUGUUAAAGGGACAGUACAAUCAAAUAAAACAGCCCAAAGAAAACAAAGAGCAGCAGCAAAAGCAGAGACAGAGAUCCUCUGCCAGAUCAAACAACUCCAGAGUUUCCGCCACCACUUCUCGCAUCACUACACUCCAGAGGGAGCGCCCAGAUGCAUUCCAGGACCCUCCAACUUCUAUCAGGAUUAUCAUCAUCAGCUACAGCAAUCUACAACCUCAAGGGCAAACGCCACAGUGCCCACCGCCAUCCAGUUCCAGCCAUCACCGCAGCUAACCUUUGCGGGGGCUCCUGGCACUGAGAUGCCAGAGCCCCCUGCUUCCUGUUUCCAGUAACCACAGCAGCUCGCUUCAACCGGGGCUCCUGGCACGAGAUGCCAGAGCCCCCUGCUUCCUGUUUCCAGUAACCACAGCAGCUCGCUUCAACCGGGGCUCCCGGCACCGAGAUGCCAGAGCCCCCUGUUUCUUGUUUCCUGUUUCCAGCAACCACAACAGCUCGCUUCAACCGGGGCUCCUGGCACGAGAUGCCAGAGCCCCCUGCUUCCUGUUUCCAGCAACCACAACAGCUCGCUUCAACCGGGGCUCCUGGCACCGAGAUGCCAGCGCCCCCUGCUUCCUGUGUCCAGCAACCACAGCAGCUCGCUUCAACCGGGGCUCCUGGCACCGAGACGCCAGCGCCCUCUGCUUCCUGUUUCCAGCAACCACAGCAGCUCGCUUCAACCGGAGCUCCGAUGCCAGAGCCCUCUGCUUUCUGUUUCCAGCAACCACAGCAACUCGCUUCAACCGGAGCUCCUGGCACCGAGAUGCCAGCGCCCCCCUGCUUCCCGUUUCCAGCAACCACAGCAGCUCGCUUCAAUCGGGGUUCCUGGCACCGAGAUGCCAGCGCCCCCUGCUUCCCGUUUCCAGCAACCACAGCAGCUCGCUUCAACUGGGGCUCCUGGCACCGAGAUGCCAGCACCCCCUGCUUCCCGUUUCAAG
ensembl:lncRNA